rnacentral:misc_RNA from 1 species
UUUCCGUAGGUGAACCUGCGGAAGGAUCAUUAUUGAAACUUCAUCCGGGGCGCCGCGGCCCUCAGCACCGGUGGAAACGCCGUGCUGCGGGGGCCGCGCGUGCAUUCGUCCAAACCAAACCCCUGUGAACCUUACGGGAUGGCCCGGGUUAGCGCCCGGUGCCGUUCCGCUUUAUACAAACACUUAUCAAAGAAUGAACUGAAGGCGGUCUGACCGCUGGAUAACAAACUGAAACAACUUUCAACAACGGAUCUCUUGGCUCUC